AGCCAACAGAUGAGCCUCUCACUUAGCUGCAGUCAAGGAUGUCUCUGCCAGCACUUUUCCUUCUCUGAAGUCUACAAAUCACAAGUCGUGAGGAAAAUGACAUUAGUGCCUCCUCACAAUAAUUUAGGGAUGACAGCUCUGAAGAAUUCCAAUGAACUUUCAAAUAUGGUACCAGCCCCAGCCAACUGCAAUCCUGGUCUGUGAGUAGAAUCGGAGUACAUUUUCUUCCAAGAGCAUUAUGCUAAAGGAAGCUAUGAUUUUCCAGAGCAGUGAGCACUAUCUUCUUUUGAAGACCCCAAGUUGUCUAAGUUUUACAAGGGAAGAAUGAAGAAUAUUCAUACCUACUUGAGGGAGUGAUAAAUGAGUUAUGCCAAUAAGGACAAGAGUAAUUGGGAGAGAAGUCCUAAAACAAAAAGCUGGAAAAUGUGAAAGAACAGAUGAAAAGGAUAAGCAGUCAUGCUCCUUUAACUUAAAAUAACCAUCAAAUUCCUAACACUGGUAUAUUAGUCCAUUUUGCAUUGCUGUGAAGGAAUACCUGAGACUGAGUAACUUAUAAGGAAAAAGUUUACUUUUGGCUUAUGGUUCUGCAGACUUUAACAAGAAGCAUGGUGUCAGCAUCUGUGUCUGGUGAGGCCUUAGAAAGCUUACAAUCAUAGCAGAAGGCAAAGGCGAGGCAUGUUUGUCACAUAGAGAGAGAGGGAGCAAGAGAGGGAGGAAGGGCCAGGCUCUUUUUAACAAUCAGAUCUGGUGGUAAAUAAUAGAGCAGGAACUCACUCAUUACCACCUAGAGGGCACCAAACCAUUCAUGAAGGAUCCACCCCCAUGACUAAAACACCUCCCACUAUGCCCUACCUCCAACAUUGGAGAUCACAUUUAAACAUGGGAUUUGCAGGGGUCAGGCAUCCAAACUAUAUAAAGUAGUAUGCCCUUUUUAAAAUAUGCAUAUGUAGUAUACUUCAUUCUAUUUUAACAUUACUGCUCUAUAAUCUUCUUACAUGUUAACAAUAUCAAUGGCCCUAUAUUCAGAGGCCAAUAUGGGGUCUUUUCAAGGUUGUGAACAAUCUCCACACAGCCAGGGGAAGUCUUCUGAGGAAAGCAGGUAUACUAAGGACUAUCCUCAUGAUUAGAUGAUCAAAAAGAAAGUACUUGAUUUUCAAGGUGUCCCCACAUUUGUCCAACACCAAGAAAUCAAGUACAGCAAAGGUUAAUGAAAUUUGACAAUUGGAAAAUACAAGCAGAAAGAGAAAGAUGCAAAACAGAAAUAAACAGCAACAAAGGGAAAACGUUUUGCACACUAGAAAUUGAGUUUUGUUAAAAGCAAAAGGAGUCUCUGCAGCCUUUGGGUACAACACAGACCUAAGCAUGUUACCACCACUCGAAGGUGUUCCAUCAGCCAAAACAGGGAAAACCUUUGGAGAGAUCAUGCACUAAAACAAUAGAACCAAAGAUGAGGUUUUACUUUUAAUCACCUAAUGUGGGAAGACUAACAGUUAAGCAAAGAAACGUGUGUUAUAUAUGUUAUCACUCAUUGUAUAUAAGAUAAAUAUGCCUAAAUAUAUUGCAUAAGCAAACUAUUUGCAUUUCACUCAUUCGUCUUGAUCAAUUAAUUCUUUCACUUCCAAGUCCAAGAUGGCAAAGAAUUUACUAAAUCAACAGUUCUCACACUUUUUAACUUAGGUUCCGAUUCAGAAGAUCACAUGAUCUGAUGGACACUAAGAUUUGAGAACUGCUGUUUGUUUUUUCAAGUGGAAAAACCUG
rnacentral:lncRNA from 10 species